rnacentral:rRNA from 1 species
GAUGAACGCUGGCGGCGUGCCUAACACAUGCAAGUCGAACGAAGCUCCCGAGGCGGAGGGCUCCGGCCGAAGCGGAGGGAUGACUGAGUGGCGGACGGGUGAGUAACGCGUGGGCAACCUGCCCCCUGCAGGGGGAUAGCGGCUGGAAACGGCCGGUAAGACCGCGUAAGCCUUCCUUGGCGCAUGCCGGGGGGAGGGAGAUGCGCAAGCAGGCAGGGGAUGGGCCCGCGUCCGAUUAGCCAGCUGGCGGGGUAACGGCCCACCAGGGCGACGAUCGGUAGCCGGACUGAGAGGUCGGACGGCCACAUUGGGACUGAGACACGGCCCAAACUCC